CCUACGGGAGGCAGCAGUGAGGAAUAUUGGACAAUGGACGAGAGCCUGAACCAGCCACGCCGCGUGAAGGAUGAAUGCUCUAUGGGUUGUAAACUUCUUUUAUAUGGGAAUAAAAUGUUCCACGUGUGGGAUUUUGUAUGUAUCAUAUGAAUAAGGAUCGGCUAACUACGUGCCAGCAGCCGCGGUAAUACGGAGGAUCCGAGCGUUAGCCGGAUUUAUUGGGUGUAAAGGGAGCGUAGGUGGAUUGUUAAGUCAGUUGUGAAAGUUUGCGGCUCAACCGUAAAAUUGCAGUUGAAACUGGCAGUCUUGAGUACAGGAGAGGUAGGCGGAAUUCGUGGUGUAGCGGUGAAAUGCGUAGAUAUCACGAAGAACUCCGAUUGCGAAGGCAGGUCACUGGACUGCAACUGACACUGAGGCUCGAAGGUGUGGGGAGCAAACAGGAUUAGAUACCCCAGUAGUC
rnacentral:rRNA from 1 species